CCUACGGGAGGCUGCAGUCGAGAAUCAUUCACAAUGGGGGAAACCCUGAUGGUGCGACGCCGCGUGGGGGAAUGAAGGUCUUCGGAUUGUAAACCCCUGUCAUGUGGGAGCAAAUUAAAAAGAUAGUACCACAAGAGGAAGAGACGGCUAACUCUGUGCCAGCAGCCGCGGUAAUACAGAGGUCUCAAGCGUUGUUCGGAAUCACUGGGCGUAAAGCGUGCGUAGGCUGUUUCGUAAGUCGUGUGUGAAAGGCGCGGGCUCAACCCGCGGACGGCACAUGAUACUGGGAGACUGGAGUAAUGGAGGGGGAACCGGAAGUCUCGGUGUAGCAGUGAAAUGCGUAGAUAUCGAGAGGAACACUCGUGGCGAAGGCGGGUUCCUGGACAUUAACUGACGCUGAGGCACGAAGGCCAGGGGAGCGAACGGGAUUAGAUACCCUAGUAGUC
rnacentral:rRNA from 1 species